UGGGGGUCGAGAGCUGGGAUAGAAAAGGCCGAGCGGCCAGGCCGCGGCGGCGUGCUUGGACGGAUGGGAGCGCGGACGGACGGACGGACGGACGGUCUUGCUUGUCAGGAACUCCUUGGCCAGAGAUUGAACGUCAGCAGACUGAAAGUGAGACUUUUUUUUUUUGUCUUUGGUUCUUUGUUUUUGUUCUUCUCCUUGAGUGGGAAGGUGGCCGGCCGGAGGAGAAAGGGCAGCUACUGGUCUCUCGGCUUCAUUCAUCCAAAGCUGAAGCAACACCUUGCUGUGGCUGGUCAAACGGAACCAAGUCAGGUGUUUCUGUGAGGUUUGGUCCCCUUCAACCAGCUACUGCGUCGUGCAUUCAGUCAGCGGACGGACGCCCGGCCGGCCGGCCGGCCACGUGCAUGGUUGUCAUAGUAACGUUGAGAGAUGGAUCGUUGAUGUGCAGCAGCGUCGCGUUAGUCAGCACGUGCGCAUGUGCAUGCCAAAAGUCAAUAAAUCAAUAAAGUAAUCAAA